rnacentral:rRNA from 12 species
CUUGUCUCAAAGAUUAAGCCAUGCAUGUCUCAGUUUAAGCAGCUCCAUAGCAACACUGUGCAUGGCUCAUUAAAACAGCCACAACCUGGGUCGUGGUCCUGCUACAUGGAUAUCUUCGGCAAUUCUGCAGCUAAUACAUGCACCAGCAUUCACCUGUGGUGAGUUGUGGUUGUUGCAUUCAGAAUUAAUGCAAGCUGUGCUUGAUGACCAGAUGAAUCAUUACAACUGCAUGGAUUGUAGUUUGUACACUGUUGAUGCUCUAUCAAGGUUUCUGACCUAUCAGCUUCCGAUGGCAGGGUAAAGGCCUACCGUGGCAGUGACAGGUGACGGAGGAUUAGGGUU